rnacentral:rRNA from 1 species
UGGGGAAUAUUGGGCAAUGGGCGAAAGCCUGACCCAGCAACGCCGCGUGAAGGAAGAAGGCCUUCGGUUGUAAACUUCUUUUACCAGGGACGAAGGACGUGACGGUACCUGGAGAAAAAGCAACGGCUAACUACGUGCCAGCAGCCGCGGUAAUACGUAGGUUGCGAGCGUUGUCCGGAUUUACUGGGUGUAAAGGGCGUGUAGGCGGAGCUGCAAGCCAGAUGUGAAAUCCAUGGGCUCAACCCAUGAACUGCAUUUGAAACUGUAGCCCUUGAGUAUCGGAGAGGCAAGCGGAAUUCCUAGUGUAGCGGUGAAAUGCGUAGAUAUUAGGAGGAACACCAGUGGCGAAGGCGGCUUGCUGGACGACAACUGACGCUGAGGCGCGAAAGCGUGGGGAGCAAACA